rnacentral:rRNA from 1 species
UCGGAUUGUAGUCUGCAACUCGACUACAUGAAGCCGGAAUCGCUAGUAAUCGCGAAUCAGAAUGUCGCGGUGAAUACGUUCCCGGGUCUUGUACACACCGCCCGUCACACCAUGGGAGCCGGAAAUGCCCGAAGUCAGUGGCCCAACCGCAAGGAGGGAGCUGCCGAAGGUGGAGCUGGUGACUGGGGUGAAGUCGUAACAAGGUACC